rnacentral:rRNA from 1 species
UUCCGGUUGAUCCUGCCGGAGGUUAUUGCUAUCCGAAUUCGACUAAGCCAUGCAAGUCUUGGUGUUCAAUCUUUGGACACUAGGGCAGAAAGCUCAGUAACAUGUAGUUAAUAUGCCCUCAAGUCAGGGAUAAUCUCGGGAAACUGAGGCUAAUACCUGAUAGAUAAGAAGUACUGGAAUGUUUUCUUUUCUAAAGCUUAUGCGCUUGAGGAUUAGACUGCACCGGAUUAGGUUGUUGUUAGGGUAACGUCCUGGCAAGCCGAUAAUCCGUACGAGCCUUGAGAGAGGAAGCUCGGAGAUGGAUUCUGAGACAAGAAUCCAGACCCUACGGGGUGCAGCAGGCGCGAAACUUUCCCAAUGCACGCAAGUGUGAGGAAGGAAUCUGGAGUGCAUUCUCUUAUAUAGGGGAUGCUUUUGUGGAGUGUAAACAGCUCCAAGAAUAAGUGGUGGGUAAGACGGGUGCCAGCCGCCGCGGUAAUACCCGCGCCACGAGUGAUAACCACGAUUAUUGGGCUUAAAGCGUUCGUAGCCGGUCCAAAAAGUCUUUAGUGAAAUCUCAUAGCUAACUAUGAGGCUUGCUAGGGAAACUGUUGGACUUGGAAC